UACGAAGGGGGCUAGCGUUGCUCGGAAUCACUGGGCGUAAAGCGCACGUAGGCGGAUCUUUAAGUCAGGGGUGAAAUCCUGGAGCUCAACUCCAGAACUGCCUUUGAUACUGGGGAUCUCGAGUCCGGGAGAGGUGAGUGGAACUGCGAGUGUAGAGGUGAAAUUCGUAGAUAUUCGCAAGAACACCAGUGGCGAAGGCGGCUCGCUGGGCCGGUACUGACGCUGAGGUGCGAAAGCGUGGGGAGCAAACAGG
rnacentral:rRNA from 1 species